CCCUUAGAUGUUCUGGGCAGCACGCGCGCUACAAUGGUCUUCGCAAACGGAUGCAUUCUCGAAGGAGAAUGCCAAUCUUGGAAUCUAUGCCUUGGUCGGGAAAGUUGCUUGCAAUUUUUCGACUCGAACCAGGAAUUCCUUGUAAUCGUGAUUCAUCACAUCACGAUGAAUACGUCCCUGCCCUUUGUACACACCGCCCGUCGCUCCUACCGAUCGAAGAGUUAGGUGAAUUGUUUUGAUCGAUAAGAUUUGACUAUGGUCAACUCUCGUUGUGAAAUUCUGUGAAUCUGACUGUUUAGAGGAAGGAAAAGUCGUAACA
rnacentral:rRNA from 1 species